UACAGAGGGUGCGAGCGUUGUUCGGAAUUAUUGGGCGUAAAGGGCGCGUAGGCGGUGCGGUAAGUCACCUGUGAAAUCUCCUGGCUCAACUGGGAGCUUGCAGGCGAAACUGCCGUGCUGGAGUGUGGGAGAGGUGCGUGGAAUUCCUGGUGUAGCGGUGAAAUGCGUAGAUAUCAGGAGGAACACCUGUGGCGAAAGCGGCGCACUGGACCACAACUGACACUGAGGAGCGAAAGCCAGGGGAGCAAACGGG
rnacentral:rRNA from 1 species